rnacentral:rRNA from 1 species
CCUACGGGCGGCUGCAGUGGGGAAUAUUGGGCAAUGGGCGCAAGCCUGACCCAGCAACGCCGCGUGAAGGAAGAAGGCUUUCGGGUUGUAAACUUCUUUUCUGAGGGACGAAGAAAGUUACGGUACCUCAAGAAUAAGCCACGGCUAACUACGUGCAAGCAGCCGCGGGAAUACGGAGGUGGCAAGCGUUAUCCGGAUUUAUUGGGUGUAAAGGGGGUGUAGGCGGGAAAGCAAGUCAGAUGUGAAAACUCAGGGCUCAACCCUGAGACUGCAUUUGAAACUGUUUUUCUUGAGUGCUGGAGAGGCGAUCGGAAUUCCGGGUGUAGCGGUGAAAUGCGUAGAUAUACGGAGGAACACCAGUGGCGAAGGCAGAUUGCUGGACAGUAACUGACGCUGAGGCGCGAAAGCGUGGGGAGCAAACAGGAUUAGAUACCCCGGUAGUC